AACAGGGAUUGCCUCAGUAACGGCGAGUGAAGCGGCAAUAGCUCAAAUUUGAAAUCUGGCAUCAGCCCGAAUUGUAAUUUGUAGAGGAUGCUUCGGCUUACGUUUUGGUCUAAGUUCCUUGGAACAGGACGUCACAGAGGGUGAGAAUCCCGUUUGUGGCCAUAACUUCCGCCAUGUGAAGCUCCUUCGACGAGUCGAGUUGUUUGGGAAUGCAGCUCUAAAUGGGAGGUAUGUUUCUUCUAAAGCUAAAUACCGGCCAGAGACCGAUAGCGCACAAGUAGAGUGAUCGAAAGAUGAAAAGCACUUUGGAAAGAGAGUUAAAAAGUACGUGAAAUUGUUGAAAGGGAAGCGCUUGCAACCAGACUUGCCCGUAGUUGCUCAACCGGUCCUUCGGCCGGUGCACUCUUCUGCGGUCAGGCCAGCAUCAGUUCGGGUGGUUGGAUAAAGGCCUUGAGAAUGUAGCUCUCUUCGGGGAGUGUUAUAGCUCUUGGUGCAAUACAGCCUGCCUGGACUGAGGCCCGCGCUUCGGCUAGGAUGCUGGCGUAAUGGUUGUAAGCGGCCCGUCUUGAAACACGGACCAAGGAGUCUAACAUCUAUGCGAGUGUUUGGGUGUCAAACCCGUGCGCGUAAUGAAAGUGAACGGAGGUGGGAACUUUUUGUGCACCAUCGACCGAUCCUGAUGUCUUCGGAUGGAUUUGAGUAAGAGCAUAGCUGUUGGGACCCGAAAGAUGGUGAACUAUGCCUGAAUAGGGUGAAGCCAGAGGAAACUCUGGUGGAGGCUCGCAGCGGUUCUGACGUGCAAAUCGAUCGUCAAAUUUGGGUAUAGGGCGAA
rnacentral:rRNA from 1 species